rnacentral:tRNA from 1 species
CUGACCAUAUAUAACCCCAAGCAAUCUGGUUAUACUGUGAAGACGACAUUCGCCGAAAAUUCGCGCUUGAACUCGCAAAUUUUACCUUGACUUGAAUGAUCACCAGUGAAAGAGAUCAUUCAGUCUUACUUCUAUCACAUACCCGAAUUUUUAAAGAACAGUUCUGGUGCAAAGACCAGAAAUCAAUGUUCAUUCACGAACAUUCAUUUCUGAGCUUUCGACGAUUGUUUUAGAUGGUGGAGCCAAGGAGGAUCGAACUCCUGACCUCCUGCGUGCAAAGCAGGCGCUCUCCCAGUUGAGCUAUGGCCCCGUAUCGGAUCACGCAGCACACCAACAAUUGGUGGGUCUGGGCAGAUUCGAACUGCCGGCCUCGCCUGUUUUUUAGGGGUGCUGCGUCCCCUUC